rnacentral:rRNA from 1 species
GAUGAACGCUAGCGGCAGGCUUAAUACAUGCAAGUCGAGGGGCAGCACGAAUAGCAAUAUUUGGUGGCGACUGGCAAACGGGUGCGGAACACGUACGCAACCUUCCUUUAAGUGGAGAAUAGCCCGGGGAAACCCGGAUUAAUACUCCGUAACAUUAUAAAGUGGCAUCACUUAGUAAUUAUAGAUUUAUCGCUUAAAGAUGGGCGUGCGCCUGAUUAGGUAGUUGGCGGAGAAUAGCCCACCAAGCCUGCGAUCAGUAACUGGUGUGAGAGCACGACCAGUCAC